rnacentral:rRNA from 1 species
GAUGAACGCUAGCGGCAGGCUUAAUACAUGCAAGUCGUGGGGCAGCAUGAGUAGCAAUACUUGAUGGCGACCGGCAAACGGGUGCGGAACACGUACACAACCUUCCUUCGAGUGGGGAAUAGCCCAGGGAAACUUGGAUUAAUACGCCAUAAUAUUUAGGAGCAGCAUUGCUCUUUUAUUAAAGCCGCAAGGCGCUUGAAGAUGGGUGUGCGGCUGAUUAGGUAGUUGGCGGGGUAACGGCCCACCAAGCCUGCGAUCAGUAACUGGUGUGAGAGCACGACCAGUCACACGGGCACUGAGACACGGGCCCGACUCCUACGGGAGGCAGCAGUAAGGAAUAUUGGUCAAUGGACGCAAGUCUGAACCAGCCAUGCCGCGUGGAGGAUGAAGGUCCUCUGGAUUGUAAACUUCUUUUAUCUGUGAAGAAAUGCACGGUUUCUACUGUGUUUGACGGUAACAGAUGAAUAAGCACCGGCUAACUCCGUGCCAGCCGCCGCCGCAGUAA